rnacentral:lncRNA from 1 species
AACAUGGACCAAUGCUAAAUGUUGAAAGUGUUUAGUUAAACAAGUCUGCAUUUGACCUUAUCUAAAUUUCUAAAAUCUGUUGGUCAAGUGACUAGCUCGCAUUGAGGAAGUUGGUUUUUAUAUUUACACAUUUGUUCUGUGACAACUCCCUGUAUAGUUUACUAUAGUACUUUGAAUAUUUGGACUGAUAUUGCAUGCAAGAAUGACAGGGGGAGAAAAAAAACUGCACUAUUUCUUUGACUGAACAUUUUUACUUUGACAGUCAUUGGUUGCUAAUAUGGUUUGACUAUUUAGACUUUACAAUUUAAUACAUUUUUCUGAAAUUUAUAUUAGGGAGAGUCCAAAUGUGUAACUUUAAAACCAACUUUACCUCAAUAUAGUCCACAGGUCUCUAAACAAAGUCAGAUGAGAUCUAUUUGAAACAAGCUG